UACAGAGGGUGCAAGCGUUAAUCGGAAUUACUGGGCGUAAAGCGCGCGUAGGCGGAUCUUUAAGUCAGAGGUGAAAUCCCAAGGCUCAACCUUGGAACUGCCUUUGAUACUGGGGAUCUUGAGUCCGGGAGAGGUGAGUGGAACUGCGAGUGUAGAGGUGAAAUUCGUAGAUAUUCGCAAGAACACCAGUGGCGAAGGCGGCUCACUGGCCCGAUACUGACGCUGAGGCACGAAAGCGUGGGGAGCAAACAGG
rnacentral:rRNA from 1 species